AAAAGGAAUCAAAUUAAACAAUCAAUCAAAUGAGAAAAUAAAUUAAAAAAAGGAUUGAAUCAAAAAAGGAUUAAAGUAAUUAAAUUGCUCAUCCC
rnacentral:rRNA from 1 species